ACAUGCAAGUCGAACGGUAACAGGAAGCAGCUUGCUGCUUUGCUGACGAGUGGCGGACGGGUGAGUAAUGUCUGGGAAACUGCCUGAUGGAGGGGGAUAACUACUGGAAACGGUGGCUAAUACCGCAUAAYGUCGCAAGACCAAAGAGGGGGACCUUCGGGCCUCUUGCCAUCAGAUGUGCCCAGAUGGGAUUAGCUUGUUGGUGAGGUAACGGCUCACCAAGGCGACGAUCCCUAGCUGGUCUGAGAGGAUGACCAGCCACACUGGAACUGAGACACGGUCCAGACUCCUACGGGAGGCAGCAGUGGGGAAUAUUGCACAAUGGGCGCAAGCCUGAUGCAGCCAUGCCGCGUGUAUGAAGAAGGCCUUCGGGUUGUAAAGUACUUUCAGCGGGGAGGAAGGUGU
rnacentral:rRNA from 1 species